GGGUCUUCACCAGAGCAGGACCCUUGCGGCUGCUCAGCAGCUACAGGCCACUCAGGGGCAAGAAUGGGAACAAAGGCUAGAAGUUGGGGGCGGAAACACAAAGGCUUGCAGGCUCGAGAAAAUCCACAGGUAGACAGGGAGUUAGCCAUCUCUUGGCUUCUCGGCCCAGAACCCAAGUGAAAAGCAGCCUGGUGAUGGAGCAAAGGCAGAGAGUCUCGCAUCUCCCAGGUGGAGUCUGAAGGAAAGCCAAGCCCUUCCCACCUCUCCCCACCACCCCCUGCCCUGCCUCAGCCUGGCAAUAAUUUGAAUUUGCCCAUCCUUAGCCCUGCAGACCAAGCCCCCUGGGCACAGGCAGGCACAGACAGGGAGGCCGGCUGUGCCUGUACCAAUUCUCUCUACUCGUGCUAAUUGGGGCCCACUUUCAUCAAAUCCCCAGGGCAUGUGUAGACACACACACACACAUACACACACACUCCCAACUAGGCUGUUUGCCAAUAACUGCCCCCAGUUUGAAAAUAAACUCUGUCCUGCGGGCGGGCACCUGCCAGCACCUCCUCCUCCUCUCAGCUCAGCCAGCCAGCCAGUGACAAGAGCCCAGCCAAUCCUAAGAGUUCCCUCAGGAUUCAAACCAAAGGCAGAAAAGGAUGAAGAACAAGCUGGGGCACAGUAUAAAAGACUCCAGGGAGACCAUUACAAUAUGCCUGUACCGUAGCCUCUGGAAGCAGAGACCCAGCCAAUCCCAUCUACGCCUAGACCUUUGGGGAACUGAACUGGAGCCUCCUCCGGGUCAAUUCGGGGAGAGUAGAGGCCGAACUGGAUGAAGAUGGGAAGCAGGAAUCCAAAGCGCAGCCACUCGAUGACAUGCAGAGGGGGGCGGCCAGCCGGAGGCAGCAAGUCACAGCCCAGCACUGCACUCUCCCCAGCCCGGCCCACCACAGAGACCACCUCAGGCUUCCUUCGACCUAUGAGAUAACCGGUCCUACAACAGUCACAUCCCGGGGUAACACAGAGCUGUUGGUUCCCUGGGAUCUGGCUCACCGUCAGCCCCCUGGCUGAUGAUCAGGCUGAGGAUGGUCAGGCGGAGACACCAAAUCAUAGCCCAGCCGGCCUGCUCGCCCGGCCCCUCCUAUCCACAGGAGCCCAGAUGGAGGGGCCGGAGGAAUGUCCGCUGCCCAGCAAUCCCAGAGAGCAUCAGUAGAGUUCUGAUCCGCCUCAGGCAACCUGGUUUCAGCUCUCACUCUUCCAGUUGGUGCCUAGCUCACUCAAUACCCGAGGGAGCUGUUCCCGUCUGGAGGGCCGCCAGAUCUAGAUGCAAAAUAUAAGGCAAUGUACAGAGUUGGUCAGAGGAGUACAAGAAGAAAACCCUGGUAGAGCAAGGCACAGGGAAGAAAAAGAGUGUGUAGAGGAAAGGAGGGGACCUGCACAGAGACCAGAGGGAUCUUUUGGGUUGCACGUCUGGGGAUCAACUCAAGGGCCUUAUUCCCACCAAACUCUACCAUAGCCACACUCCUAGCUCCCAAACCAGAGAUCUGGAAGCCCUGAGAUUAAGCUAGGAUGGGAACACUGAGAGAACAUGAGGGUGCUGUCUGGUGGAGGCUGCACAGGACCCCCAUCUCAGCCAUACACUUUUCCGUGUCUGCAAAAUGCCAGCUUCUCACCCACCUAAUCUCCAAUUCCAGCAGGUCUUCGCACUCCUGCCUGGCCUCCUCCAGAAUUCCCUUUUGCCCUCCCCCUUCCCCCCUACCCUGCUCUCCCGGGAAUCCCCUACCCCCCAGCCCAGUUCUCCCGGGCUCAGCCCACAAUACACUUCUGAUA